UACGGAGGAUGCGAGCGUUAUCCGGAUUUAUUGGGUUUAAAGGGUGCGUAGGCGGCCGAGUAAGUCAGCGGUGAAAUUUUGCAGCUUAACUGUAACAGUGCCGUUGAUACUGCAUGGCUAGGAUUUGGUUGCUGUGGGUGGAAUGUGUGGUGUAGCGGUGAAAUGUUUAGAUAUCACACAGAAUAUCAAUUGCGAAGGCAGCUCACAAAGCCAAGAUUGACGCUGAGGCACGAAAGUGUGGGGAUCAAACA
rnacentral:rRNA from 1 species